rnacentral:pre_miRNA from 1 species
UUUAAGACAAGGACAAUAGGAAGAACUGACACCACAGAGCGCUCUGUGGUGUCAGUUCUUCCUAUUGUCCUUGUCUUAAA